rnacentral:rRNA from 1 species
UUGUCUCAAAGAUUAAGCCAUGCAUGUCUCAGUACAAGCCAUAUUAAGGUGAAACCGCGAAAGGCUCAUUAAAUCAGUUAUGGUUCCUUAGAUCGUACCCACAUUUACUUGGAUAACUGUGGUAAUUCUAGAGCUAAUACAUGCAAACAGAGCUCCGACCGGAGACGGAAGGAGCGCUUUUAUUAGAUCAAAACCAAUCGGUGGCGGGUUCGCUCGUCAUCGUACAACUUGGUGACUCUGAAUAACUUUACGCUGAUCGCAUGGUCUCGCACCGGCGACGCAUCUUUCAAAUGUCUGCCUUAUCAACUGUCGAUGGUAGGUUCUGCGCCUACCAUGGUUGUAACGGGUAACGGGGAAUCAGGGUUCGAUUCCGGAGAGGGAGCCUGAGAAACGGCUACCACAUCCAAGGAAGGCAGCAGGCGCGCAAAUUACCCACUCCCGGCACGGGGAGGUAGUGACGAAAAAUAACGAUACGGGACUCUUCCGAGGCCCCGUAAUCGGAAUGAGUACACUCUAAACCCUUUAACGAGGAUCAAUUGGAGGGCAAGUCUGGUGCCAGCAGCCGCGGUAAUUCCAGCUCCAAUAGCGUAUAUUAAAGUUGUUGCGGUUAAAAAGCUCGUAGUCGAAUUUGUGUCCCGCGCCGCCGGUUCAUCGCACGCGGUGUUAACUGGCGUGCCGCGGGACGUCCUGCCGGUGGACUUAGCCUUCGCGGGCGGUCCAACUCAAUCCCACCGCGGUGCUCUUUACUGAGUGUCGAGGUGGGCCGGCACGUUUACUUUGAACAAAUUAGAGUGCUCAAAGCAGGCUAAAACUUCGCCUGAAUACGUGUGCAUGGAAUAAUGGAAUAGGAUCUCGGUUCUAUUUUGUUGGUUUUCGGAACCCCGAGGUAAUGAUUAAUAGGAACGGAUGGGGGCAUUCGUAUUGCGACGUUAGAGGUGAAAUUCUUGGAUCGUCGCAAGACGAACAGAAGCGAAAGCAUUUGCCAAAAACGCUUUCAUUGAUCAAGAACGAAAGUUAGAGGUUCGAAGGCGAUCAGAUACCGCCCUAGUUCUAACCAUAAACGAUGCCAGCUAGCGAUCCGCCGACGUUCCUCCGAUGACUCGGCGGGCAGCUUCCGGGAAACCAAAGCUUUUGGGUUCCGGGGGAAGUAUGGUUGCAAAGCUGAAACUUAAAGGAAUUGACGGAAGGGCACCACCAGGAGUGGAGCCUGCGGCUUAAUUUGACUCAACACGGGAAACCUCACCAGGCCCGGACACCGGAAGGAUUGACAGAUUGAGAGCUCUUUCUUGAUUCGGUGGGUGGUGGUGCAUGGCCGU